GUAACUUAGAGUCGUCUGCGGGAAAUCGGUUAGUAUUCCACCCAUUAAAAAUGUGUGAAUUAACGUCUCCCUUAAUGAACGAUGGCUAAUAUCAGGAUAUUUAGAACAAAAAUGUUUUGAUUCUGCUGUUAGGGACAAUCCACAGCAUGCUACGAGUUGGUCGUGGAAUGGUGGCAAUAUGCCGGAGAGGGGCCAAGCAGAGGCAUUGGAAUCCUUGCAUGUGCAGAUCUCCUGUAUUUGCAAGUGGAUGCUCCUCCU